rnacentral:rRNA from 1 species
UACGUAGGUGGCGAGCGUUGUCCGGAUUUACUGGGCGCAAAGAGCGCGCAGGCGGUCGUGCAAGUCGCGUGUGAAAGCCCCCGGCUCAACUGGGGAGGGUCACGCGAUACUGCUCGACUCGAAGGCAGGAGAGGGAAGUGGAAUUCCCGGUGUAGUGGUGAAAUGCGUAGAUAUCGGGAGGAACACCAGUGGCGAAGGCGACUUCCUGGCCUGUUCUUGACGCUGAGGCGCGAAAGCUAGGGUAGCAAACGGG